UACGAAGGGGGCUAGCGUUGUUCGGAAUUACUGGGCGUAAAGCGUGCGCAGGCGGCUUCUCAAGUCAGGGGUGAAAGCCCAGAGCUCAACUCUGGAAUUGCCUUUGAGACUGAGUGGCUUGAGUACGAGAGAGGUGAGUGGAAUUCCCAGUGUAGCGGUGAAAUGCGUAGAUACUGGGAGGAACACCAGUGGCGAAGGCGGCUACCUGGACCGGUUCUGACGCUGAGGCGCGAAAGCGUGGGUAGCAAACAGG
rnacentral:rRNA from 1 species